AUGCACGCUGGCGGCGUGCCUAAUACAUGCCAGUCGAGCGAACGGACGAGAAGCUUGCUUCUCUGAUGUUAGCGGCGGACGGGUGAGUAACACGUGGAUAACCUACCUAUAAGACUGGGAUAACUUCGGGAAACCGGAGCUAAUACCGGAUAAUAUUUUGAACCGCAUGGUUCAAAAGUGAAAGACGGUCUUGCUGUCACUUAUAGAUGGAUCCGCGCUGCAUUAGCUAGUUGGUAAGGUAACGGCUUACCAAGGCAACGAUGCAUAGCCGACCUGAGAGGGUGAUCGGCCACACUGGAACUGAGACACGGUCCAGACUCCUACGGGAGGCAGCAGUAGGGAAUCUUCCGCAAUGGGCGAAAGCCUGACGGAGCAACGCCGCGUGAGUGAUGAAGGUCUUCGGAUCGUAAAACUCUGUUAUUAGGGAAGAACAUAUGUGUAAGUAACUGUGCACAUCUUGACGGUACCUAAUCAGAAAGCCACGGCUAACUACGU
rnacentral:rRNA from 1 species